AGGGAAGCUUCGCGGAGAGACGGCAAAGACAGGCAGAGGCUUCCCUCACACACUCGCUCGCACACGGCGCAAGAUGGCCGGGCGGACGGCUGCUUCGCGAGCGGCUGCGGCUUUUUACCCCCCCCCUCCGUUCUCAGAGGUGCCUCUCCCGCCAAACUUCCCGGGCCGAAAGCGGCCUCAGAGUCGGUGGGGUCUCCGUCGGCCGGGGGUCCCCGAGCUUGUGGGGUGGUGGAGGGUGUCCUGUCCCGGUUGAGGCGGACCCUAGAGCAAGCCCUCUGCGGCAAGGCAGCCUCGGCUCUCCCGCCGCCCGUCCGCCCUGCAGGAUGUCUCCGCUCGACUCGCCUGGCUUCUUCCCGCACCCUCAGGACGGUAUUCUAUGAAUAUUUGCAACCUCAAUAACAGAUGGCUUAUAAGAGCUGCCCAGAAUUUUUUGUAGAUUUCCCUGACUUCUAAUAACUAGAAGGAUUCAAAUGGAGCUAAAGGAAAACGUGAACUGUUUCAGGGAUAUUGAACUGAUUCCACAAAGUGCCUGAUUCUGUAUGGUGUACUGAGUCCAGAGAAAGGAAGAAACUCAAAAGGGAGACAACGAUUUCCAAAUCAAGAUGGCAGUUCCACUGCUGAGAGGUUCAGAAAGUGAACUAGUGCAUGAUUGCUGAGUAUGCCCUUCCAAGAAAGGGAUUCUUUAACAUGGACCACGAUUGUCUAACCUACAGAAGAUUUGAUCUAAUUGUAAUCUUAUAUUCUGUUUUUAUUUUUUUAAAAAUCUGUUUUUUCAGACUCUUGGGAUUAGCAUUCAGUUGGGGAUGAAGGGCUGGAAGGGGCUGAUCAAAUUUUGCAAACAGGAAUGUAUAAAAAUGUUUGUCCCCUAUUUAAUUGGCACAAGUGCAUUGCUAUUUAAAUAAAAGUGGUUUUUCCAUA